rnacentral:tmRNA from 1 species
AAUGGUUUCGACGGGGGCAAGUUGCUCCUGGGAAGCGAGUCGAAGGGAUCCUGUACCUGCGUUAAAAAACUGGGAACUUAAAUAUAAUUGCAAACGAUAAUUUUGCAUUAGCUGCCUAAUAGUUGCAGCUCGUCAGCCUAAGAGUCCCACGACUUAGGGUCUGGCGUCGACAGUGGGGAACCGAGCCUUACAAAGCUUUGAGUAAGGAACGGAAUUAAUGAAGCUACUAAAUCUAAGAGCCUGUUUAUCGGCGUUUAGAGGAGGGAAUGUAAAAGGAUAAACUGCACUCGGAGAUGUCCAGGGGUUGCUGCUUUCGGACAGGGGUUCGAUUCA